GGAGAUGAACACGGUCAGUACUCCACGAGGCCGUCCUCCAGAUCCUCGUCUCUCCAUUUACUCCUCCUGCAAGCUGGGAACUGGAGACACGCACGGCACUCGCCUAAGCAGCCCAGAAGCGAAGCCCGCGUAACUCAAGCCUGCAGCGGCAGGCGGGAACCACCAGGGAUCAGGAGAUCACCGAAGAUCGACUCCGGCCGGCCGGGGCGCCUCAGAGACCGAGCUCCCGCACCGGCCGCCAGCCUGCAAGUGACUGCCGCAAGCCAGGGCCACCGAUGCCGCCACUGGGCUGACGGAGCGCUCGCCGAUGCGGAGCGAGGGCUGCACGCACUAACCCCUUACCAACGUAAGGCUCAACGCCACGGUCCCAGGGAAGACCGGCCCGGGGAGAAGAACCGCUCCCCGCAAACCAAGACACGGGCGGAGGCGCGGAACCGAAGGACCGCCGCCACACGCUCCGUGGCCCAAAGGGACGCCGGCGCUCGGCCGGCGCCUCAGCGGCAGGGCAGGGCAGGGCCCCGCGGGCUGACAGACGCCCGCCGCCGCUCCGACGACAGAGCAUGCGCAGCGCUCUUCGCCAACGGAGGCCGUGCCAUUAAGGCGGCUGCCCCCGCGCCGUGCCCGCUGCGCCUGCGUCACCUCCCUCCCCGCCGGCCGGGCGGCUGCACUGCGCCUGCGCGGCUCCGGCGGGGGCGGGGAGCCGGAGCCUGCGCGGUUGCCGGGGUGACGGGAACACAACAUGGCGCGCUGAGGGCCUGGCGGCCGGGAGGUGUUCGGCGGUCGGGAGGGCGCCCGGUCGCUCUCUCGCUCACCCCGAGACCUGCAGGCGAGCGCAGGAUGAACAAAUAUCAACCAGUUGGUAAGAUAGGAGAGGGAACAUUUUCUGAUGUUCUGAAGACACUGAGUCUUAGGGAUGGAAAGUACUAUGCAUGUAAACACAUGAAACAACAUUUUGAAAGUAUGGAACAAGUGAAUAAUCUGAGAGAAAUACAAGCACUAAGGAGGCUGAGUCCACAUCCUAAUAUCCUUGCAUUACAUGAAGUUGUUUUUGAUAAAAAAGCUGGGUCCCUUUCACUGAUAUGUGAACUUAUGGACAUGAAUAUUUAUGAGCUGAUAAAAGGAAGGAGAAAGCCAUUACCUGAAAAAAAAAUUAAGACCUACAUGUACCAGUUAUGCAAAUCUCUUGAUUACAUACAUAGAAAUGGGAUAUUUCACAGAGAUGUGAAACCAGAAAACAUAUUAAUAAAGAAUACCCUGAAGUUAGGAGAUUUUGGAUCUUGUAGGAGUAUCUAUUCUAAGCAGCCACAUACGGAAUAUAUCUCCACACGCUGGUAUCGAGCACCUGAAUGCUUACUUACAAAUGGCUACUAUAGUUACAAAAUUGAUAUGUGGAGUGCUGGCUGUGUUUUCUAUGAAAUCACAAGUUUUCAGCCUCUCUUCCCUGGAUCUAAUGAGCUGGACCAAAUUUCAAAAAUCCAUGACAUUAUAGGCACUCCUGCUAACAAAACUCUCAAGAAGUUCAAGCAGUCAAGAAUUGCGACCUUUGAUUUCCCUUUUAAAAGAGGAAAAGGAAUACCUCCUCUUGUGCACAAUUUGUCUCCCAAAGGCUUCUCUCUCCUGUAUGCAAUGAUAAAAUAUGAUCCUGAUGAGAGAAUUGCUGCCCAUCAAGCAUUACAGCACCCUUAUUUUCAAGAACUCUGGGCAGCUGAUACACAAGCUUUGGCCAUGCACAAAAAAUUAAGAUUACUAGGAAAUACAUCAGGGCAAGUACCUCUGCAUUUGUGGGAAAUAUCAAAGGAAGGUCAAAGACAGGUAAUGUUUAAGUGGAAGAAUUGUCAGCCCAUUUAG
rnacentral:lncRNA from 1 species